UUGACUAUGUGUAACUGGCGGAGCAUGGGUAACCAUGAGGAAGCACAUAGAUUACUAGCCGUACGCCUGGGCAGAGGUA
rnacentral:ncRNA from 2 species